UCCGGUUUGUCACCGGCAGUCAUUCUAGAGUGCCCAACCGAAUGCUGGCAACUAAAAUCAAGGGUUGCGCUCGUUGCGGGACUUAACCCAACAUCUCACGACACGAGCUGACGACAACCAUGCACCACCUGUCUCCUUUGUCCCGAAGGCCUAUCCUAUCUCUACGAUAUUCAAAGGGAUGUCAAGACCUGGUAAGGUUCUUCGCGUUGCUUCGAAUUAAACCACAUACUCCACUGCUUGUGCGGGUCCCCGUCAAUUCCUUUGAGUUUCAGUCUUGCGACCGUACUCCCCAGGCGGAAUGCUUAAUGUGUUAACUUCGGCACCAAGGGUAUCGAAACCCCUAACACCUAGCAUUCAUCGUUUACAGCGUGGACUAC
rnacentral:misc_RNA from 1 species